AACUUCUGCAUUCUUGUGUGCAACAGAAAGAAAAAAUGCUCUGAACAUUGUUCAGCACUUAUUUCACAGCAAGUUCAACAUGAUGAUUUGAGUGUGGAGGUAUCGAAAGUUCAGAAUAAUGAUUUGAAUUAUGCUGCCUUGCAUUUUGCUGAUGUGGAACCUACAAGUGGAAGAAAGAAGAAAGAGUUGAAAGACAAGAGUGUGUACUCACAUGUCAGAUACACUGACUGGGAAACUAAUUUUGUAACACCAGACUAACACAACAUCCUGUCGUGGUAAAACUUUAACUGGAAAUUUUCAUACUGGUUUUAAUUAAUUUUUGUAUGUUACGAGAAUGUGCUUCUGUUUUUAUCAGUUGUUUGCACACAUAUUGAAAGGUCACAGUUUAAAAUGUGUUUGAGCACUUUGCUUUAAGGUAACAUGUCUUGAAAGGUGUGCUUUGAAAAUAUAUCUGCUUAAACAUAUACUGUUGCUUAAUAACUUGUGCAGGUUACAGCUUGUGUUAUACUGUCAAUUAACACCAUAUGUCUGUUACCACUAUUGUGAAUUGAAAAGGUGCAAAAUAUGGAUGGAAAAGUUCUUGUGUGGUAGUUCAAAGCUAUACAACAUUUUAAGCAGUUUUAAAAGUUUGAUUUUGUUUCUUGGUUAAAAGGAUUCAUAAAUAUAUAUUCCAUAUUCUGCUCACCAGGUAGAUAGUGACAUUCAGCUCUUUAUCAAGAUGAGUUAGGAUUGUUAUUAAAUUGAAUGUAAGGUUAUUUUCAGGUAAUCUUUAUUUUAUCAUAAGUGUAUCAGCCCUGAACAAUCUUCUCCCAGAAUGCAGAGCACGGACUAGAAACGACCUGAGAUUUCUCCUGCGUUACACUGGUUGUUCCUCUUUGGGAGACCUGAUGAAAGCAAAGUACCUUUGAAAAAGACAAAUAUAAGACUAUGUGACAGACCCUGAAAGCAUCUGGUUAAAGCCUUAGAGGUUUACUAAAACUAUCUUUGAC
rnacentral:lncRNA from 1 species